ACGUUUAGGGGAAUCCAUAAUUUGAACUAGACCAAAAGAAGACGUCAAGUCGAGCAAAGCUGAAGUUUGAUUAUCACACCUCAAUAAAUUUACAUUAAAAUCGCCAAGUAACACCAAAUCAUCACACUCAGGUGCAAUAGCGGCCAAACUAUUCUCAAGUUCCUCCAUAAAACUAACAAGAUAAAAAUUAGGGGGUCUGUACACAACACCUACGAUUUGCUCAGUAUUAACUUUCUUAAAAAUACUUUAUUUAAAAAUAAGAGGAUUGAAGUCGGACCUAUCCUCGACCUAUCCAUUUUCCAGGAGGAACAUUAUUUAGAUGUCACCGAUAUAUCGGAUAUCUAGAAAACUAAAAAACAUUUUUCAUCUAUUAGUCAUUAUUUUUCAUAAGAAAUAAAUCUUCAAAUUUAUGCGUAUAGGUUGAGAAGUACCCUGUAUAAAACGGUAAUAAGACCUCCCUACCCUGGAGGAAGACAGUAGCUGCAGAAUCAGGUUGAACCAUGAGCUAUAUAGCAUUAUGAGGGGUGAGGAUAUAGUGCGUUUUAUAAUGGCACAACGUGUACAAUGGCUGGGGUAUCUGCACAGGAAGAUUGCAGCAGAGACGGAUUUACGGAAUAUGCGUGUUGAACGAUGGAGAGAGGUUGCUGAUAGAGGAAGAUGGGGCGAGAUGGUAAGGGAAGCCAAAACUCACAUCGGAUUGUAGAGCCAAAGGCAGAAGAAAUUGUUUGAAUUGUGUAUUGAAUCUUUAACCAUUGCCCCAUAAAGAACAACAAAUUAAGCUUUUACUCAUUAUCUCUGUCGUUACUCAACACAAUCCCUAAUAUCUCUCAACACUCAUCUGGCUUCCAUCCACAUAAUCUCCAUUAUUUAUUAACAUAGUCCUUAAUAUCUCUAAGUAUCGUCACUGGUACCGUUCAACUUAUUUCCUAUUAUCCCAUGUUAACGUCACUGGCUUUCUUACAGCUUUCUAUUAUCUAUAAUCUAUAAUCCUCGAUAUAUCUAAAUAUCGUUUCUGAUAUCUAUCAACAUGAUCGUAUUAUCUCUCAACAUUGUCCCCGAUAUUUUCCAAUAUCGUUCCUGACAUAUAUCAACAUCCCUCCGUAUCUUUUCUAGCAUCUAUCUGUAUUAUCCCGGAUAGCUCUAAAUAUUAUUCAUGUUUGUAUUAUAUGAUAUCGGACAAUAUCAUCCGCUUAUUAUCGAUUUUAGAACCGUCGAAUAUUGUCCCUGAUAUCCUUGCUUAUCGCCUAUAGGUUCAAAAUUAUCCAUAUUUUCCCUAAAUCUCUCUCAACAAUGUCGUGAUUUCCUUCAACAUCAUUUUUAUCAUCUAUCAACAUCAUCCUUGAUAUCUACGCAUUGAAACCUGCUUUUACGAUUUUAUUGAUGGAAUUUUAACUAAAUCCAUCUGAAUUAUUAAACCAGUAAAGUUCUUUGCCCCCGACUUCUCUCAAUAUCGCCCUAAUUAUUCCCCAGUAUCAAUGUCUACUUCUAUAUCUUUCCCAUCAAGUUCUACAUACAUCGUUCUUGACAUUAUUCAACCUCAAUUCCAAUAUCGUCCCUGAUAUCUUGCAAUAUCGUUUUUACCGUUCCUCAACAUUGUGUGAGGCGUUUCUCAACAUUGGCUCUAUUAUCUCUUAACACAAUGCCUAACAUCAUUCAACAUUAAUCUAAGUGCCCUCAAUAUUUUCUCCUUUACUUAUUAACAUUGUUCUUAAUAUCACUGAUUACCGUUCCUGACAUCUCUCAAUAUUGUCCCUGUUAUUUUGCAAUAUUGUCCUUAGUCUUCCUUAAUGUUAAUUUUAUUAUAAUUUCUCAAUAUUGUCUGUGAUAUUCCUCAACAUCGUUCCUGACAUCUCCCAAUACAAUCUCUAAUAUCCCUAAACACUAAUCUGGCUACUCUUCAUUACUUAUUAACUUCAACCUUAAUAUCUUUACUUAUCCUCUCAGCAUCUUUCCCAUUAUUCUAAAUAUCGUCUUUGAUUUCGGUCAACAUUUUCCGAGAUAUCUUUAAACAUUGUCUCCGAUAUUUUUCUGUUCUGGCUCCCCUUUAUAUCUCCCCUAACAUCUGUCAUUAUCAUGCUUGAUACCUCUAACUGUUAUCUGUAAUAUAGCUCAAUAUCAUCGCUGAUAUCUUUAUCAACAUCGUCAUUUAUAUCCUCGAAUAUUGUCCCUAAUAUCCUUGAUUAUCGCCUAUAGUUUCAAAAUUGUAAGUACAUUUUUGAAAAGUGUAAUAUUACCAUUUAAGUAUUAUGUAUAUUAUAUGCCUAUGCAAUAUCAAACCAGAACCGGGCCCCUGUAGGUGCAGAGCCCUGAGGCACGCGCCUCAAGCGCCUACUGGCUAAUCCAGCUCGGCCUUCCUUCAACAGGGUCGUUAUUAUCUAUAUUGAUUGUCCUUGCCAUCGCUAAAUAUUUGUCUAGUCUUUACUUUAAAUUUUUCUACGUUCAUGUCUACGUAUUUAUACUGGUAGGUCUUGUACAAAAUGUGUUGCAUAUUAUUUGGUUUGCAUUUUUAUGUCUGGGUGACAUGACACAGCGCGACAAUUAUAAAUAAAUGACCAGUAGUAAAUGACCAAAUUCAAAACGUUUUCUAACCUGUACUACAAUGAUAAAAUAACGUUUUAGUUGAAAAAAGUUGUCAACAGGUGUUUUAUUUGGCGCCUAAAAAACAUUGAAUAAAAGGUAAGAAAACCAUGGUUUUUGAUAUGCUAUAUAAUUAAGGUCAUCCUCAGAUAUGCAGAUCAGGAAAUCACAUGUAAUAAGUUUUUACAAUUGUUUAUUGUCUUCUUAAGAUGUCAAUAUGAAUGUAGAAUACAGGUAUAUUUUGUUGGAUAUCAGCGACAUUGUCCUUGUUACUAGCAACGACCUUUCGAUGUAUGGGUCAUAAUCACGAUUAGCAAUAGGAUCAUCAUUACAAAUGUUCGAGGUUCACUAUUUUCAUAUUUACCAAAAUAAUUAUGGUGGUAACAACAAUUUUAAUGUAAGGGAUGUAAUGCAAAAAUUGAACAAAUGAGUUUUUUUAAAUAUUAAGUUAAUGACAAAGAAAGAGUAUGUAGAAUGCAAUUUAAAAUCUUUAUGAAAUCCUUAUAAACAGUUGUGAUUUAGUGUACUUGGAAAAAUCAAAUACCCACGUGGUGUUUAAAGUACUAAAUAAAUAAUAAGUCUAAUAACACUAGUCUACAAAAAAAAUGCAUAAAAUGUACAUUUGACGCCACGGUAUUUUUCUUAUAUAGUUUUCUAUGGAUCUAUAGUAUUUUUUCUAUGGAUACGUUUUGGAGCUAUGAUUUUUUUUUAUAGGGGUAAUUUAACUAUUUGCAGCAUAUUUCGAGUUAGAGAUGACCGAUCUGGUCGUGCUAUUCAUCAAAUUAAAGAGUAUUGUAUAGCCAAUGAAUGGUAUUAAUAUUUAUUCCAAUCGCUUCGGUAGUUUUAAAACAAUGGCCCAUAAUAUGUAAAAAAGGGAUUUUUUUAGACAUAAUGUGAACCAAAAAUUCAUUCAAUAUUCGUGGGGAGUCGCAGAAAAAUUCUUUUUUACCUUCUACGUAAAGUUUGCUCUUUUAAGAAGACAACACGGUACGCAGAAUGAGAAUCUAUAGAGAAAUUACCAAAAAUUAUGAUAUAUAUUUGAGAGCACAGCUUUUUUCUGUACAUGAAAUUCCGCGCAACUAGACCGUUAGAAAUUUUUAGGUUUCAUGUUUCGUACGUUUCUGAGAUUUUACAUGUAGGAGCUAUUCAUCCCAAUCUUUCAAUUUAAAAUAAUUUCAAGAUGGCUGCCACAUCCAGUGCACCGGAAGUAACCUACAUCUUUGUUAUUUUAAACGGAAUGCUACAAUUUUUAUUGGAUAUUUGAAUUCCAAAAUUCACUCGCAAAAAGAGAACCGCAAAAAUUCCGUCUUAUUCUUUACAUACAGAUUGUACUUUUACAAUGGGAAGAUAGUAUUUACGACCAAAGCCUAUAGAGAAAUAUCGAAAUUAUGAUCAUUUGUGAGUCAAAGUGCCAACAUCCAGCUUUUCCUAUUUCUGUAAUUUUUCUCAAAAAGCACGAAAUACAGUGAUUCAUUCAGUUUAUUUUGAUUGUAACAUUUAGGUAUUAAUAAAAUAGAAUGCAUAAGUCUUAGAAAAUAACUUUGCACCCCGCUUUGCCUUCUGUUUCUUUGAGAAUCCGUCUCUUAUGGGGAACCAGAUAUAGUCUCCCACCAUUCUUUCAUCCCAAAUUCCUGAUAACGUCGCUCAAUGUUCUUCAUUUGCUGGUGGAACCUUUCGCCAUGUUCGUCACUUACGUCACCAAGAUUCUCCGGGAAGAAAUUUAAGUGUGAGUGUAAAAAAUGAAUUUUUAGAGACAUAUUUACACCUGUUGGAAAAAAUUAAAAUAAAAUUAAACGUAAGUAUAACUGUAAAUAAUGUAAUAACGUGUAUUUGUAAACUGCCUGCAUCCCCAUAGCUUUUGAAAUGUACAUCGAAAUUAAAUUCAGAAUAAAAAACCUUAAUUGUUUUUUUAUUUUGAAUUAAAUGUCUCUUAACUCAAAACCUGCUGGGAUGUCGGUACUUUACGGAUACCCGGAAUAAUAAUAAUAAUGAUUCAUACCAUUUUUUUAUAAUUCUGAAGCAAAUUUUCAACAAUUGCCUCGUAAUUCGGGAUUUAUUGUUUCCAAGAAAAUCAGAAACAAUUAACUGAAACGAAUUCCAGGCUGCAGCUUCAACGGAUGAUAAAUAGGUGUGAAAUUUGUCAUCUUUUAAAAGUUUUUUUAUUUGUGGACUGUUGAAAACACCUUCCUUGAUUUUUGCGAAUGAAAUAUUUUCAAAUAAGGUUCUUAAAUAAGUAAACGCUUGGCCUUUUACAUCCAGCGCUUUCACAAAAUUCUUGAAGAGUCCAAGUUUAAUAUAUAAUGGUGGUAGAACGAUAUUUUCUUUUUUAAUAAGAGGCAAGUAUUUAAUGUUGCCCUCGCCCAGGGUGUGGCUUUUUCUUUCAGGACAUUGCUUCCUCUUAUAAUGGUGUUCCCUUGCGCGACUCUCCCAAAGACAAAGGAAACAACAAAAUUUCGUGUAGCCACUUUGUAAACCAUACAACAUGCCUGUGACUUUUAAAUCGGCACAAACUUUCCAUUCGUGGUCUUCGUAAUUAAAAGAUUUUAAUAGUUUAACCAUUGUUUCGUACGAUUCUUUGGUAUUUACAGCAUGCGCGAUCGGAAUUAAUGGUUUCUCAUUUCCAUUAUUAAGAGAACUGCUUUAAAACUACUUUUACUGCUAUCAAUAAAUAAUCGCCACUCGUGUGCAUUAUAAGGCUGGCCAAGCUCCUCGAACAAACCCGGAAUGUCUUUGCAAAAGCAUAUGUUAUCAGUUGACAUGGUCUCGGUCUCUGUAAUAUGUUACUUUAACACUCGUAUCCAAAAAAUGAUAUUGCUUCAUACGAGAUGCAUGUAAUUCCACUUUCUCAUUUGAAAGCUCCAAGUCUCUCACCGGAUCAUUCAGUUCUUCAUGUGUUCAUGCUGUCCUUGACAUUCAGUUAAAUCACUUUGGAAAUCUGACGUAUCAGUACUUGAGGAUUGAGAUAUAAUGGAAGUUUGGGACUGAGAUAAAUCAGGGCAGUUGGGGAUGGGAAGUGUAUCUGAAUGCGGAACUGGAAACGUGACAGAUGGUACAUUUGCAUAAACCCAUCGCAUAUUUUUUCCAAUUCCGGUUUGUUUACUUAGGCAAAAGUAGCAGUAUUAUGGCAUUUAAGACAUAAAAAACUUGGUGUCUAUUGUUCUUGAAGAUUUUCAGUUGCUAUUCCAAAAUAUUGCAGAUAAUUUUCUUGUACUGAAUUAGUAAAUUUACGCAUGUUUUUCUUGACGACAUAUUCACCACACACAUAACAGAAAUUAAGGGGGUCGUUUUCACAC